GGGAGAAAAUGGAUCCAUCUGUUUAUAAUUUCAUGUGUAUAAAUCCAUUUUUCUUAUUGUACUGUAGGCGUUGGAAGCAGCCACCAGCCGUCCAACAGCUCAGCCACGGAGAGGUUCAGUUCGGAUUUCCCCAGCACCAGCACCUCCAUUUCCACAACAGCUGCCAAGGCUGGAGGGAGGACAUUGAGGUCUCUGCCAGCCAGCACCAGGCUGGUCACCAUGGCAGAGAUUUCCACCUCUGAGACUGAAAUCAGCAGCUCCUCAGCCCAGAGCCAGACCCCUGGCAUGUCUCUGGGUGCCCAGGGUGAUGGAGGCAGAGGUGUCACAGACCCAUUGCUCUCAGGCUUGCCAUCCAUUUCAGGAAGUGCUUCCACAACUGCUGGCAGCAGUUAUGAAUCUCCCAGGAGCAUCCCAGGUGCAGAAGAGACAACGGAGCACUUGGACAUCCAGGCUGCUGACAUGUCCAGCAUGGCAGUGGGGACACUGAUGUCCCCAGAAAAUGACCACACAGCAGAGGUGACAAGGCACUCUGCCACCAGCAGCAACCCCACAAGCUCUUUGGGUGGGACCUCCUCUUCCUUGAGGACUGGGACACAUCAUCUCAACAGCACAUGGGAAGCCACUGAUCUCCCAGGCCCUCCUUUGCUCACGAGCUCCCUCUCUGCCUCUGAAGGUCCUUUCCCAGGUGUCAGAGGCAACAGACCAGUGGCAGAGAAAACCUCCCUCGCUUCCUCUGCCACCAGCACUCCCAUUUCAGCCACAUCCAGCAGUGGGGGGAGGCUCCCCAGGUCAGCCUCGGGCAGCAGCCCCUGGGCAGCAGCCAAGGGCUCCACGUCCAGCAGUGCCACGUACAGAACCUUGGGAACAACCCAGUCCUUGUCCACAUCUUCUGGGAGAGAGACCUCCAGGGCUCCGGGGUCCACAGGAAUGACAGAUUUCACUGAGGUGGCAGACUCUCCCCUAACACACUCUGGCUCUCCACUUUCCCCAGCUACUGGAAGCAGCCAUGUGUCAUUCAGCAUCCUGUCAACAGAGAGAAGAACCAAUUUCCCCACCACCAUCACCUCUGUUUACACAACAGGCACCAAGGGAGGAGGGAGGACAUUAAGGUCUCUGCCAGCCAGCACCACCCUGGCCCAAACAACAGAGGUUUCCACCACUGGUACUGAAAGCAUCAGCUCUCCAGGCCAUUCCCAGUCUUCUUUGGGAACCCAGGGUGGUGGUGGCAGAGGUUCCACCCUGUCAUCUGUGAACCCAUUGCUCGCAGGCUCACCAUCUGCUCCAGAAAGCACUUCCCCAGACAAGGCCUCAGCAACAGGAGGACACCUGCCUCUCACCAGCACACCCGGUGUGGUGGGAACUGCCACUAGGGAGGAGAGCAGCACAGUGCCUGUGUUGGACACCCAUGGAGCUUCCAGUGCCACAGGGAGCUCUGCUCCCUCUCCCCCCCACACCAGCACCCUGGACACGGUGCUGCUGUCCUCACCAGCAGCACAGCCUGGGACACAGAGUCGUGUUUCACAGAGCGGGGCAGGACUCAGUGAGCUUCCAACAAAGCUGCUGCCUGCAUUUUCUGCCAGCGUUUCAAUGCCUUCACCUUCAGCCACACUCUUCAUCCACAAGGAAGGGACACCUCAAGCCCCAGGUAGCCACAGCACGUGGAGCAUAAAAGCAGAAAGCCUCACAUCUCAGCUGGACACUGUUGGGGACACCCACACCGGCCCUGUCCCAUCCUCCACGGCAUGGCCUCCAGUGAGACGUGUGUCAUCUGGCCAAGCAGGGUCCCCAGAGCCCAAGGUCACCCUUUCAUCCAAGGCCUUCACCUACUUCUCUGCUGCUGCUGAACCUUCCACUAUUGGCAGCAGCCAUGGCUCCCUAAGCAGCUCAGGUGCUGAGAAGAGCCUGUCCAGCCCCAUCACCGAUCCCGUGUACAGUUCAUCCCCGUCUGCAGGUGCUGAGGAGAGGAUGCUGCUCUCAGUGACAGGUGGCACUCUGGCUGGUGGCAUGGAGAGCUCUUCUUUCCAUGCUGGAGCUCCCAGCUCUCCAGGGCCAUCUGAGCCAGCCCUGGUGGAGCAGGGCAGGACAGCCAAUGCCUCCACCAGCAGCACGGGCUUCACGGGCUUUGCGACAGAGACCGUGUUUGUGCGUUCUGCCAAGAUACCCACUUACUCUUCUUUCCAGAAUGAU
ensembl:lncRNA